GCAGUGAUGUGGAGCGAAACUCAAAAAAUAAGUCUCAGUUCGGAUUGAAGGCUGAAAUUCGCCUUCAUGAAGCCGGAAUUGCUAGUAAUGGCAGGUCAGCAUACUGCCGUGAAUACGUUCCCGGGCCUUGUACACACCGCCCGUCACACCAUGAGAGUUGGGAAUACCCGAAGCCUGUGAGCUAACUUUUAGAGGCAGCAGUCGAAGGUAGAAUCAAUGAUUGGGGUGAAGUCGUAACAAGGUACC
rnacentral:rRNA from 1 species